rnacentral:rRNA from 1 species
CCUACGGGCGGCAGCAGUGAGGAAUAUUGGUCACUGGGCGAGAGCCUGAACCAGCCAAGUCGCGUGAAGGAUGACGGCCCUACGGGUUGUACACUUCUUUUGUCAGUGCGCACUUGAGUCCACGUGUUUUCUUAGCGAGCGUACCUGAAGAUAACGCAUCGGCUAACUCCGUACCAGCAGCCGCGGUAAUACGGAGGAUGCGAGCGUUAUCCGUAUUUCUUGGGUUAAAAGGGUGCGUAGGCGGAAUAUCAAGUCAGCGGGAAACAUUCGGGGCUCAACCCCGUCGUGCCGUUGAAACUGAUGUUAUUGAGUGGGCGAGAAGUAUGCGGAAUGCGUGGUGGAGCGGUGAAAUGCAUAGAUAUCACGCAGAACACCGAUUGCGAAGGCAGCAUACCGGCGCCCAACUGACGCUGAAGCACGAAAGCGUGGGGAGCGAACAGGAUUAGAUACCCCGGUAGUC